GACGAACGCUGGCGGCGUGCUUAACACAUGCAAGUCGAACGGAAAGGCCCUGCUUUUGUGGGGUGCUCGAGUGGCGAACGGGUGAGUAACACGUGAGUAACCUGCCCUUGACUUUGGGAUAACUUCAGGAAACUGGGGCUAAUACCGGAUAGGAGCUCCUGCUGCAUGGUGGGGGUUGGAAAGUUUCGGCGGUUGGGGAUGGACUCGCGGCUUAUCAGCUUGUUGGUGGGGUAGUGGCUUACCAAGGCUUUGACGGGUAGCCGGCCUGAGAGGGUGACCGGCCACAUUGGGACUGAGAUACGGCCCAGACUCCUACGAGAGGCAGCAGUGGGGAAUAUUGCACAAUGGGCGGAAGCCUGAUGCAGCAACGCCGCGUGCGGGAUGGCGGCCUUCGGGUUGUAAACCGCUUUCGCCUGUGACGAAGCGUGAGUGACGGUAAUGGGUAAAGAAGCACCGGCUAACUACGUG
rnacentral:rRNA from 1 species